AAUAUGAUAGAAAACAGAAAAAAAUGGCACUUUUCCAAGGUAAAAAUAUUCAAUGACGUCUAAUAAUCGUUUAAGAAGUUCUGAAAAUAUGAUAGGAAACAGAAAAAAAUGGCACUAUUUCAAUUUAAAAAUAUUCAAUGAUUAAUAAUUGUUUAAGAAGUUAUACUGAAGUUCGCUCUAAAAAUAUUUAAUGUAUUUUGCAAUUUUUCCACAGAAUAGAAGAAAAGCAUAUUCUUUAAAAAAACAUCCUUCUGUUUAUCCCUGAACGCAAAUCGAUUCGAAACAACGCUUCUUUUGCCCCGAGUUAGGACUAUUGAAGAUUAGGAGAGAGAAAAAAAUGGCACUUUUCCAAGAAUAGAAGAAACGUAUUUUUUGAAGAACGUCCUCCUGCGUCCCAAAGUUUAUCCCUGAACGCAAAUCGAUUCGCUCCUUUUGCCCCGAGUCAGGACUGUUGGAAACGACCGUUGCGCUGUCAGCAACGAUGACGAAGAAGAAGAUCAGGGGAAGACAAGAGGUAUACGGAGCCCAGACAGUGAUUCAAAAGAUGCUCGGUACUUUUGGGGUGUCUUGCAGCUGUUCCUCGCCCUCUACCUCCCCGACUUCGGCUAACGCCCGAUCAUCUUUCUUAUCUGCGAGCCGUGCAGAAGCAUGAAAUUUCGUCAAUCUGAGUACUCGAUCGUUGCGUAUAUACAUAGCAUCUCGAGCAUUUCGAGCAAAUGCAUCCUUUCGUAUCCUCUCGUGCAUUCACCACGAUCCAGAGAUCUUUUCACAAUCUGUAUGGCCGAAAGGAAUAAAUGAAGUGUGAAUAAUUUGCGAAAAGAGUUACGGAAUAUAUUUUUAUCGCUUCCGAUUCAUCUCGGCUCCCUCUAAAGAAUCGUGGGAUUCCACCCAAAAAACAGCCGAUAUCUACAAUCUUCCCUUGUAAAGGUUAUAUAAGAGUCGUCGAAGGAAGCGGGAAGGGAGGGAGGAAUAAGAACGAAGAAAUGGGCGGAACGUCGUGGAGAGAUUUGGCAAAGGAUUCGAUAAAGAUUCCCAGAGGAUCUGAGGAGGGCGCAAGGAGGACGACAGAUUGCUGGCUUCGAUCGAGACAGCAAUCGAACAUACAUAAUUCUCUUUAAAUAACACGCACAAUUGAGGAUUGACAAAUUUCUUUGGAUCACUCUCCUUAAGGAAGGAUGUGGCAGACGAUAGAAUUACUGUAAGAAGCAAAAAAAAGGAGAAAAAUAGAGACAAAAAAAAAGUUUAGAAAUCUCACGUCAUGGAAGACGUAGAAGAGGGUUGAACAACCCUACGGGAUCUUCUUUAUUAAGCUCCGGAGACUUAUUCUUGGUGCCAGACGGCAUGCUGUAAAAAAGGGGAAGACGUCCUGGCAACCCUUUCCCCAGGAAGACGCCAGUCCUAGUUUAUGAUCUUUCCACUUUCGUUUUCCUGCUUCUAUAUCCGUGCAUAGUGCGGGAACGCUUCCAAAGUAUACGCGAUUCGAUCGAACUCUCGGAAUUGCUCGCUAAAUGGAUUGAAAUCGUUGACCUUGGUGGGCGAGGCUCCCCAACGCCUAGAACUCGGCACCGCUUCUACGCACUCGAAAUAAAAUCAAAUCGUGAAUUUUAAAUCUAUAUUUUUGAAAGGUGUUGCCCGAGUGAUUUAAAAAUCACGCAAAACACCUGCAUACUCUUCCGGUUGGAUAUCGAAAAAGUGAAUCCGGAAGUGAAAUUUACAAAAUCUAUUUGCAGAAUAUUCAACGUAGUCUAUUCGAAGUUUUCCACGGGCAUCAGUUUUCAAGAUACCUGUGGAAAAGGUUCGCCGUUCUCAAUUUGUUUUCAACCACAACCGCCACUCAUCCCGAGCCGCGCCCCAAUAAUCUCCAGAGAUUAUUUCCGGGGCCACGAGAAUAGAGAGAAGGCCGUGUCGCAGAAAAAAAAACCUGUACAUACGACUUGGACCAAGCCAAAAGAUGGCACAUGCAGAGGAGAGAGAAGGCCUCCUCUCUUAUAGCAUCUGUUGCAUCGUGGUUCGACACCACCACCAUCACUGGCCGCACCACCAGAAGGCACCAUCACUACCACCGGCCCUGACGACCACCAGGUGCUAUCCACCUUCCGUGUCUUUCCCCAUCGUCGUCUUCGAAAAAACCUUCCUCUCCCCUCCCCACGUCCCUCGCCAUUAUUCCCCGAGAUUUCCACCAUCUGCGUCUCUGCGAUCCACCCUUCGCCCCAUCUCUCUCCGACAUUCGUGAUCCACAUUGGUUCAUCUUCUUCCCUCGAGAAGGAGAAGAAGAGACCUCUGGCAAGCCACCUUUUGCGGAGUACGAGAGGCUAAUUGUGACUGGGAUGAUUUCUUGUGUCCGGAAGGUGGAUGGGGUGGAAACCGACUGGAGCAAUUGUUGACGGAUGCUGUCUGGAGAAUAUGCAGUAGGAUGGGGAAGAGGAUAGAUUAGAUAAAUUAGAAAGAUAAUAUUGGUGAUUUUACAAGUCACAAAUCAUCAGUGACAAGUUCUGUUGCGUAAUAAUAGCAGGAGAAGUAGUGAAUCGCAGCCGUCAUAAAGGAAGGGAGAAAGGAAGAAACUGGAAAUUUUCUUGUUCUCAACCGCUGCCGCCAACCGGUUCGUCCAUUUCAUUCGAGUUUUCAAAGUUUUCUCUGCCGUUAAUGGGACUGGCUGUUGUAUUGCGAAAAGAAAAGGUGGCGGAGGGAUGGCAGCGGUAGAAGGAAGGAAGAGGAGAAUGGCACGGCACCGUGCAUUCUUCAUAGACUGGGUACACAGAGACACGCGAUGUUUCGAGGACUCCAUCGAGAAAUAUCGAUUCUGCUAUGUCCACUGACCUGGGCCAAGUGUUUCGUCGAGGAUUGCGUUGCUUAGAAGUAUCGACGAUCGACACUCUACUCUAUAUCUUGAUUGAAAAAAGAAGAUUUAAAAACAAAAAUGAUAUACACGUUCGCUAACUUAAUAAUAAAUGAAUAAAUGCAGUUUACUUCAAACUUUGUCACAAGAUAAUCCGA